UACGGGGGGAGCAAGCGUUGUUCGGAUUUACUGGGCGUAAAGGGCGCGUAGGCGGUCGUGACAAGUCACUUGUGAAAUCUCCGGGCUUAACUCGGAACGGUCAAGUGAUACUGUCGGACUAGAGUACAGAAGGGGCAACUGGAAUUCUUGGUGUAGCGGUGAAAUGACGUAGAUAUCGAGAGGAACACCUGCGGCGAAGGCGGGUUGCUGGGCUGAUACUGACGCUGAGGCGCGAAAGCCAGGGGAGCGAACGGG
rnacentral:rRNA from 1 species